UACGAAGGGGGCUAGCGUUGCUCGGAAUGACUGGGCGUAAAGCGCGUGUAGGCGGCCUCGCAAGUCGGGUGUGAAAGCCCUGGGCUCAACCCAGGAAGUGCACUCGAUACUGCAAGGCUUGAGUUCCGGAGAGGAAAGCGGAAUUCUCGGUGUAGAGGUGAAAUUCGUAGAUAUCGAGAGGAACACCGGUGGCGAAGGCGGCUUUCUGGACGGCGACUGACGCUGAGACGCGAAAGCGUGGGGAGCAAACAGG
rnacentral:rRNA from 1 species